UACGGAGGGUGCAAGCGUUAAUCGGAAUUACUGGGCGUAAAGCGUGCGUAGGUGGUUCGUUAAGUCCGUUGUGAAAGCCCCGAGCUCAACUUGGGAAUUGCGGUGGAUACUGGCGAGCUGGAGUGCGGUAGAGGAAGGUGGAAUUCCCGGUGUAGCGGUGAAAUGCGUAGAGAUCGGGAGGAACACCAGUGGCGAAGGCGGCCUUCUGGACCAGCACUGACACUCAAGCACGAAAGCGUGGGGAGCAAACAGG
rnacentral:rRNA from 1 species